rnacentral:misc_RNA from 1 species
AAACAACUGGAGUUUUUCCUCAGGUCAGUUGCUUGAGAAAACUUAGCAACAUUAACAAUUGCUGACUCACCUCUAAAUCUUACUAUAGUGCUUUUCUAAGUGGGUUUGUCAGGUAUGACUAGACAAAUCUGGUCAAUUGUUUUGAGGAUCACUGCAUGUUUAUUUAUACCGUGUUACUACUUCUUUGUUUGAAUGCUUUCUUUGGAAUCCUCGAGACAAAAGAAUGCCCUUAAUAAGUUAACAGUUAUUUUCAUAAACCACUUGUUUUACUUUAUUGUAGUGCCAAUUAUUGAUGUAAAUCAUUAUUAGCAUCUUACUUUCUCCUUUUACAGGACAUAUGGCACUGUGAAAU